GGAGAGGUGGCCGAGUGGUCCAAGGCGCUGCACACUCGGAAAAUGUUUAUUUUAUCGUGCAGUUUGCUCUCUGAGCAUCCGUGGGUUCGAAUCCCUCCCUCUCCC